rnacentral:lncRNA from 1 species
GGACUUGGGGAGCGAGGGAUGCAACAUGGUGCAUCUGGGAGGCCUGCUAACUGGCUAACUUCUCCGGCGUUCCUCCCGGCCGAGGCGUGGGCACAGAAUAGCGCAGGUCAGUAUGUACCUCGUUUUGUAUAUUGUCUUGAAACUUUACUCCUUUGUAUGUUUGAAGACAUCAUUUUCCAGUUUUGGAGCCGACUAAUGAACUAGUUCUUAAGUGAAAGGCAUUUAACACGACUGUGCAUCUACAGGUACUAGGUUUCCAAGAUGCCUUUCCAGACUAAAACCCACACAUGUGAGCCGCUGGCCGGACAAACAUCUGGCACCUAACGUGGGGCUGAAAAACAGCAGAGGACAUUUGGAAGAAACACUGCUGGUUUGGAGCUCCAUAGAAGAAGAAAAUAAUUAAAGGAAAUUCAUACCAGAGAAGGAAGCUGCAGCUCCUCUCCUCUGGAUCUUUAUGACCACACCAGGAAGCAUUGUGAUCUGCAGUCACUGCCAACCUGCAGGAUAACACAGCUUGUUCCUCUGGGAACUGCCCUGCAGUGUCUGCAUACAGCCACCCUCGACCUGUCUGCCUGGUCUUUGCAACCUCUAGUGGCUGUUGUUCCACAAUGUGUUGUGAAGACCUGAAUGGUUUGCACCAAAACACAAACACAAACCAUUGGGAGAGUGAUUGGUGAAGUGAUGGACAUUUACUCGGGCAAAGGCAUGCAUGUAAAAUAGUCCCUAUCUGGAUGGACCUACGCCUGUGGCAGGAAGUUCACUGGUCAAUUACCUGCUGACUGAAGUGGCCUAUUUUCUUCUGACCCCCUGCUUCUCUCUUCCCCUCUCCGCCCUGAAAGCUGUUUGGGCAUAGGGAGGUCUUGACCUGAGGAAACCAUCUUGGGUAACCAAGGCAAGGAAAGGGAAUAUGCAACACCUAGGAGAUUUCAGCAAACAGUAGAAUCAUGCCAACGUAAUCUGUGUUAAAAUGCUUGGAAUGUGGGAGCCGCCGGUGAUGUCUGUUGUCUGUGUGUCUCCAGUAAUCCUUUCUUUUUUAAGUGCAGCAAAGCCAAGCCUGGAAACCAGGCCAAGCGCCUGCCACUUACCUUAAAUUUAUCAGCCACUUUGAGAUUAAAACCCCUGAAAGCUGCUGCACAGUGAAAGCAAGGCCUCCUUCACAUUAAAGGCAAAUCGCAACUCUG